ensembl:lncRNA
UAACUUUUGUAAUUUUUCGCAGAGUGCUGCAAGAGACAAGUUCAAGCACUUCAGAAUAAUGGAGAAGGACGAAGGGAGCAAGACUCUCCCUUGUAUUCUCAGACAGGACAUUUUUUCCCAUGAAUUAUCACUCUUCAGGCAUGGUCAGGAGGCUGCUAGUAAACCAGACUCUGAAAACUCAGACUGCUCUGGAGAAAUCAUUAACCUCCAUAGCUGUGGUCAGACUGAGGACACACGGAGAGCAUGGCUUUGUCCAAGACAUACAUCCGGGCCAUCUGACAUAUCCUGGAUGAGAAAAAGGAGCCUUAAACUCCAAAGAUCGCGCAACAGUUUGUUGGAGGAGCUAAAAAUUCAUACCUAGGUAUGAAGCCAUUAUUGUAAAAUACAUCCUACGGUGGAGUGGUUUGAAACAGGGGAAAACUGUUUUCCCUGGGAACAGUGAAUGUUUUAAUUUAACCAGAUCACAGUGAAUACAGUGGAUGUGUGGACAUCAAGACCGAUGGUUAGACUGGAGACACAUUUGGAGAGCUUUGAAUAUAACAGUGGGGAUUCAAUACUUAACUGAGAAACAAAGGAGGAAAUGUGGAGGAUUUUUAUGAAUAGACAGGCUGUGGCUAAGAAAGGGUGGAAUAGAUGAAUGAAGGGUGGAAUAGAUGAAUAGAUGAAAGAAGGAAGAAAGAUUUUUUUUUUUUAAAGCAGGAAGAUGACUAAGAGGCUAUUUUAAUGUUCUGCUGUGGACGAGAUCUAGGGCACUGGUCACAGGAAAAUGCAGUGAGUCUGUGUCUGGGAAUGUUAAAGUUCUCACAUGUCACUUAUUAAGCAGUGUGUUCAAGCGGAAGCUGUUAGUGUGCCGUUUUAAGGAAACCCUCCCUUAUUAGCUGGAGGGCACCCAAGUUAUACCACAAUCAGUUCUGGGUUUACAAGAAUUGUACCUAAGCCAUACAUUUGCCACAUUUUCCCUGCUUGCAUCUUCCUCUUCUUUUCUCUUGUUUGCUAUAACUCUGUCUCUGACUCUGACACCUUUAGUUUUCCUGGCCUUUGACCUGUUUGUUGUAAAAUGUAAGUAUCUCUAUUAUUCAGAUAUGGUGAGGCCAACAGAUGCAGAAAGGACUGCCACCGAAGAACUAUUUUGUUACUCACUGUAUCCAAGUGGAGGGAGGACAUUGGCCAUACAGGGCCACGUGGAGAAGCACCAGGGUUAGCCAGGAGGCAGAGAGCCUGAAGGGAAAUGUGACAAGAGCCUCUACUGUGGUUUGAGUCACAGGCAAGACAGAACAAGCAGCUCUAGGUUCAGUUAGUUUGAUUAGUUUCAGUGGGCUCUGGCUGUUGGCACUGUCUCUGGUUACCUGGUACCUGGCCAG